rnacentral:rRNA from 1 species
UACGUAGGGGGCAAGCGUUGUCCGGAUUUAUUGGGCGUAAAGAGCGUGUAGGCGGUUUGGUAGGUCCGUUGUGAAAACUCGAGGCUCAACCUCGAGACGCCGGCGGAAACCAUCAGGCUAGAGUCCGGAAGAGGAGAGUGGAAUUCCUGGUGUAGCGGUGAAAUGCGCAGAUAUCAGGAAGAACGCCCGUGGCUAAGGCGGCUCUCUAGUACGGUACUGACGCUGAGACGCGAAAGCGUGGGGAGCGAACAGG